CAGCAGCCGCGGGAAUACGCAGGUGGCAAGCGUUGUCCGGAAUUAUUGGGCGUAAAGGGCUCGCAGGCGGUUUCUUAAGUCUGAUGUGAAAGCCCCCGGCUCAACCGGGGAGGGUCAUUGGAAACUGGGAAACUUGAGUGCAGAAGAGGAGAGUGGAAUUCCACGUGUAGCGGUGAAAUGCGUAGAGAUGUGGAGGAACACCAGUGGCGAAGGCGACUCUCUGGUCUGUAACUGACGCUGAGGAGCGAAAGCGUGGGGAGCGAACAGGAUUAGAGACCCGCGUAGUCCCUGUCUCUUAUAC
rnacentral:rRNA from 1 species